GCCUGUGAUGAUCCAAUCCAUGUUUUUGAGGUGUAUUGGAGCCAAGACCCUGUUUUGCAGGGAGAACCUACUUGGUGAAGCUACAUUUCACAUGAUAUUAAUGGAUUUAGCUGAGGC